rnacentral:lncRNA from 1 species
GGGCAACAUAGCAAGAACCCGUCUUUACAAAAAUUAAAAGAUUCGCUGGGCGUGGUGGCAGGUGCCUGUGGUUCCAGCUACUCUGGAUGCUGAGGUGAGAGAAUCACUUCAGCCCAGGAGGUCAAAGCUGCAGUGACCUGUGUUCACGCCACUGCACUCCAGCCUGAGCAACACAGCAAGACUGUCUGAACAGCAACAACAAACACACCAAAAAAAACUAGUUGACUUCGGAAAAGGGACUGUCUAGGUCUUUGAAGGGCUGACACAGGAUCUGAGCUGACACUGUUUCCAGGGGCCCUGAAGCAUCAUGGCCCUCUCAUUAGGGUGCAGGCUUAUGGAAAUCAGAUGAUAAGCAGAAUUCCCAACCCGAGUCCUGUGGUUACUUCUCUGGUCUCAAUGCAUACUUGGGAUGUUUUUACCUAGCAGAGGGCGGAGCGUGUACAUUGAUCCCAGGUCUUUGGUACCAUAUGUAAGGAAGCGCAAAGUAGAAGCCUUUGAAACUCCUCACCCUACUGAAACCUUUCCAAGAUAGUAAGUCAGAAACAAUGCUGCAUUCCAGGUGUAAUUGCAGAGGUAUUUCGCCCUCAAAGACUUAUAAAGCAGUGGUUACCGUUUCAUCCCUUCAAUUAACCUGAAUGGCUCCUGCUAAAUCUUGGUGGAUUCAAGUAAAUGAUGAUGCCCUGCACAAACUUAGCCAAGUCGUGUCCCUGAUCACACAGCUGUGCUAGGUGUGGUGUCUUUACUGGAACCGAUAAAUGCACCUCUGGCUCUUGAUAAUGCAAUUAUUGACUUGGUGAACAUUCUUUUCAAUUGCCAGUGGUAAAGAGGAUUAAAAGCAGUUCACAUUUAUAUGGGAAGGACAGCACUGUAAAUGGUCUUGCUUCUUGCUGUCUGAACUCCCCUGUUCUCUGUCACAAUAGUCCUUAGGUAGCUUAUCAUCUAUAUUCCAUAUGACAUUGAUGAUGUCAUACUAGUUGGACAUGGUGAAGAAGGCCGUGCAUGUCAGAGGAUGAGCGAGAAGCCCUCAGAAGUUCUGGAGCCUGCCAUAUCAGUGACAUUCUCAGGGGUGCAGCGUUUGAGGGCAAGCCAGGGACAAGUUAUUGCAUCCUGCAUCUUACAAGGAAGAAAGAGGCACAGCAUUGAUGCACCUCUGUGUUUUGGAGUCAGCAUGCACCGCACUAGAGGAUACCUCUCUGACCCCUUUAUUGGAGGAGUUGGUGAACAGCAGGAUGGAUGGGAUGUCAGUCAGCCGUGCCCCUGGCUACCCCUGUGCUUGAACAGUGGACUGUGAGUGGCGGCGUCAUGCAGAAGGAGCACAGCCUUAGGAUCUGCUGGAUUAGAGCCUGUUUCCCAGGUAGGAACGCUUCCACGAGGGCACUCCUGCUGGUUGCAGGAAGGAUACCUCUGCUGAGCCUGAAUCUGCAAAGACCACCAGGUUACUCUCAGCUCCUCAUACUGGUGGACCAGCAGGCCACAAAGGAGGGGAUACUUGAUCCUGAUAAACGGUGAGGAGGUAGCGUGGCUGCUGCGUAACGGGGCAAGCAGGCAUUGAUCUGGCACUUAGAGGAUUCAUCUAGGUCUGUCUUGGUGCUUCCAUGCCAAGUAAUGACAAUGAAAAGGUCUUUUCAGCAGCCAUAGCCCCUAAGGGCUCAGAUGCCUCAGGGUGAAGGUCUGGGCGGCGUCACCAGGCAAGCCAUGGAGACAAGCUGGAAUGCUGGUGAGGGUGAGGCCAAGGAGGAGGUGGCUGCUGAAUAUCUGUUACUUGGGAGAAGCUGUAGCAGUGGGGAUUGUAUUUGUUCUGCUAAGCCUCUUGUAUUAAGGCUUUCAUAGGAGUUGUAACUAGCCUUUACUUUGAAGAAUUGUGACAGAGUAGACUCAAUAUUGUAGCUGACUAGCUCUGAGGGGGGCAGGAGAUGGUGUCUUGGCUGAUGCCCUCAGCCCACCUUUAACUGCAGUGGACACAGAGCUGCAUCUCUGCUGUGUGUCUUUGCACUUCCUGCUCCAGGCCUUCUCUGACACCAUGGCGGCCCCCUGAGCCUGUGCCGAGAUUGUGCCACUGCACUCCAGCCUGAGUAACAGAGCUAAACUCCAUCUCAAAAAAAAAAAAAAAAAAAAAAAAAAAAAAAAAAAGGCGAGGGGAAUACAUACAGGAAUGGACUGUGAGGAUACAAAGCCAAGAAUGAAUUGUAGGUUAGUGCAAAUUUAUCAACAUGAGUGCACUUCAAAGAGAAUCUUUGAUUCCGUAUUUUGGCUCAAGGCCUGGGAGUAGUUAUGACCGUGCCUGGGUGGCUGAAUGAAGCCUGGACUCCUUGGUGGUUUACAUUGAUGGGAAGAUGAGAAUGUGGAGUGGAUUUGUGAUGUAUGUGACAUGACCUGGCUGCCACUGUCCUCUCUCUAUCCCUUCAUUAGACCGUUGUGUAAUUUAAAAAAAUAGGUUAUAAAUUUCUUUUCAAGGUAGUAAAGGGGUACAAUCAACAACCCAUGGAACGGGAG